GCCUAACGGCAGAACCAGCAACUUGGAGGAAUGUAAGUGAUUAGCACGUAAAAUUCUAGAUAAUUUAUGAUAAUGACAUUUAUUAUCUAUGUGUCUAGACCAAAUCACGUGCCAGCAGUCGCGGUAAUACGUGAAAGACUAGUGUUAUUCAUCUUUAAUUGGUUUAAAGGGUACCUAGACGGUAAAUAAAGCCCCGAAAGGGAACUGAUAUACUAGAGUUUAAAUAAGAGGGGGGGAGUACUUUUAAGUGUAAAGAUGAAAUUUUGUCAUACAAUUGGGAACAGGUAAAGGCGAAAGCGACCCUUUAUGUAAAAACUGACGUUGAGGGACGAAGGCUCGGGACACCAACAGGAUUAGAUACCCAAGUAAUCCGAGCAGAAAAUGAUGAAUGUCAUAGAUUAAAAUUUGAUCUAUAAAUGAAAGUGUAAGCAUUCCACCUCAAGAGUAAUGUGGCAACGCAGAAACUGAAAUCAUUAGACCGUUUCUGAAACCAGCAGUGAAGUAUGUUGUUUAAUUUGAUGAUCCGCAAAAGACCUCACCACAACUUGAAUAUUAUUAUAGUAAUACAAGCGUUGCACGGCUGUCUUCAGUUAAUGUCGUGAGACCUGGUUAAUUCCUGUUAAUUAACGUAAACCCUUUCUUUAUUUAUAUUAUAAAGUUGAUCGCCGCUAUAUUGGAUAUUAUAAGAGGGA
rnacentral:rRNA from 1 species